rnacentral:rRNA from 1 species
UACAGAGGGGGCAAGCGUUGUUCGGAAUUACUGGGCGUAAAGGGCGCGUAGGUGGCCUUCUAAGUUGAACGUGAAAUCCCUGGGCUCAACCCAGGAACUGCGUCCAAGACUGGGAGGCUUGAAUCCGGGAGAGGGAUGCGGAAUUCCUGGUGUAGCGGUGAAAUGCGCAGAUAUCAGGAAGAACACCAAUGGCGAAGGCAGCUCUCUGGGACGGUACUGACGCUGAGACGCGAAAGCGUGGGGAGCGAACAGG